CACGUAGGAGGCGAGCGUUGUCCGGAAUCAUUGGGCGUAAAGAGCGCGCAGGCGGCUUGACAAGUCGGGUGUGAAAUCCCGGGGCUCAACCCCGGGACUGCAUUCGAUACUGUCAGGCUAGAGGUAGGUAGGGGAGAUCGGAAUUCCUGGUGUAGCGGUGAAAUGCGCAGAUAUCAGGAGGAACACCCGUGGCGAAGGCGGCGCUCUGGGUCGGCCCUGACGCUGAGGCGCGAAAGCGUGGGGAGCGAACGGG
rnacentral:rRNA from 1 species